rnacentral:piRNA from 2 species
CACAGCAUGGAAUUAACAUUAAACU